UUUUUUCCUUCGCCAUUUUUUUCCUCCUCCAUCCGCUCCGCCCGGCGCCCACUCCCCCUCGGAAUCCUUCGCCCGCUCUUCGCUAUAUUGUCCGCCAACCUCUUCUGCCCCCUCCCGCUGCCCGCCUCCCCUGCUGCCGCCACCCCCCUCCUCCAGAAUACCUCCUCCUCGACGACGACUCCCCGUCGCGUCCCUCGCGCCGCUGUGGCCACACCUCAUCGCCUACAACAUCCUGUCGGCGUCGAUGUUGGGGGCGGACCAGGCCUCCCUCCGCAAGCACGCCGAACGCGGGUUCCUAUCUGGGCUGGCGGCGCUGUUUUUGUUGGAGGACCAGCGGGAGCGCGACCGGCUGAAGGAGCUUCCCUCGCCCACCUCAAGAUCGCCGUCCGAGUCUUACUCUCCGGCGAGGGAGAUGAGAGCGUCCAAAAAAUAUAAUUUUUUAAGAUCCCUACGAAGAAGGUGGGACGCGGGCCCCGGGUGGCAAAGGCAGCGAAGUGUGGCGCGACGGAGCAGAGAAGGUAGGAUGCGGCAGCAGCAACAGCGCGGGUGGCGACAGCGGCGAGGGUAGCGGCCGCGGCAUCAUGUGGGAUGCGGGCCCCUGGUGGCAGCGGUAGCAGAGCGUGGCGCAGCGGAGCGGAGAAAGUGGGAUGUGGCAGCGGCAACGGCGUGGGUGGCAGCAGCGGCGCGGGUGGAAGGAUCAGGGGGAGCGCGGUGGGGUCGGACUGAGAGGAGGAGGAAGGAGGGGAGGCGGGGUUGGUAGUAGAGGUAAGCGAACGCAAGCGCGGCGGCGGGGGUGCAGCAGAGGGCGCAACGGCGGGUGGCGGAAGAAAAAGAAUAG